GCGAUUAUAGUGUUUAAUGUAGCACAGCAGGUUGCCAACCUGUUAGUACGGGUUCAACUCCCGUUAGUCGCU
rnacentral:tRNA from 1 species